CCUGCACACCGAGAACCCACUAAUUGACGCAACGCUCCGAGUGUGGAUAGCUAUACGCUACCGACUGCAACUCACAAGUUCUCCUAGCCCCUUGACACCCAUCACACAUAACCCAGACCUGGCCGAUGCUCUAACCCCACAAGACCUAGCCGGCCUCCAGCAGGCAGACUGGAUGUACCUGCACCAAUGGCUCGACACUCAGGGACUUAAACCACUCAGAAACCUCUGCCCAGAUAGACCACCGAUGAUACUCGAACAAUUCAGAUACCACCAAGUUAAGACGUACUUCAUGUCCUUACAUGGUCGAGGACACCUGACUAGACCCCUCACCAGCUUUGAACACCUGUGCGUACACCGAACACACGUACACAGAGGUAUCUCCACUAUACAUACC